rnacentral:lncRNA from 1 species
CCUAAAUAACCAGUACAUGGCCCCUGCCGCUCCAAUAGCCGCAGCCUGGGGGGAAUUCUAGGGGUCUCGGAGAGAGUAACCUCCGGAUGACAACUCUCAUUGGAGAGACUCUUGUUGAGCUGGCACCAAGUCCCCCUCUUUUGUGUCACCACGCGCCUAGGCAGCCUUGGAGAGAGAAUUAGGAGACAAAUAAAGAGGCCAGCCCGCGUGGCCCUUGCCCACUCCCCACAGCAACCAGGGUGGGUGGAGGCGAGCGAGGAAGGGGCCCGCGCCCAAGCUCUCCCUGCGGCUCAACCCCGGCUAAGUUGGAAAGGUGUGGGCGGAGCCGUUGGAGUCCGAGGGGUCCGUCCCGGGCGCCUGGCGGCUUGGGCAACAAUGGGGUCCCGACGGGGGCUGCUCCGCGGGUGACGGGGGCAGAGAGACUCUACUAGAGAUGAGGGGGAAUCAUUAUUUAGGUUCGAGUGCGUUGCACGUUGCAAGAGAAGCCAGGGCGCCCCACUCGCUGAGAUUCACCUUGGCGGGAUGAAUGGGGGCGAGGUUCGGGCGUGUGCCUCGCUCGGCUACCGGGGCACGCCGGGGCGCCUAAGCAAGCUGGCCAUUUAGGAAAGCAGUGAAAGAGGACAGGAGGCUCCAGCUGAGCUGGGACCCCAGCCAGGGCGGCGGGGACAUGAGUAGGGACAGAUCGGUGCUCCGUCCUCGGAGGGGAGCCCGGUGCUGGACGCCAUCCCUGCAGCCCCGCCUGCGCGCACGGAGCAGUGGAUUCGCGGGAUUCUGGGCGGGGAGAGGGAGGAGGCGGCUCGGCUGUUCCCUCCGCGGCUGAGAGGACUCCGGGUCAAGCCUCCCGGGAGGGUCGGAGGGGGCGGGCAGUGGAGGAAGCGGAAAGGGCCCGGCGGGGUGCAGGGUUAGGGCUUACCCCGGGCAGUCCUGGAGGGUCGGGGCACUAUGGGUACCACUUUCUUGAAACGGAGGCUUUCAAAUUUAAACAAAGCCAUGUCUGUGACCGUGGUUUGGAGUUAUCUAUUAGAGUCUGGUGGGCUCAUUACAGGGUACAAAACUGGAGGCAAUGUGCCCCUCCCACCAAGAAAUGGACAAUCUUCUAUUAGUGAAGCAUGGAGUCUCUCCCCACUUUGGUGAGUCUUACUAUUUUGCAGGG